rnacentral:rRNA from 1 species
UACAGAGGGGGCAAGCGUUGUUCGGAAUUACUGGGCGUAAAGGGCUCGUAGGUGGCCAACUAAGUCAGACGUGAAAUCCCUCGGCUUAACCGGGGAACUGCGUCUGAUACUGGAUGGCUUGAGUUUGGGAGAGGGAUGCGGAAUUCCAGGUGUAGCGGUGAAAUGCGUAGAUAUCAGGAGGAACACCGGUGGCGAAGGCGGGUCUCUGGGCCGUAACUGACGCUGAGGAGCGAAAGCAUGGGGAGCGAACAGG